AUAAAAACGUUUACAUAAAACAAUGAGGAAAACAUGAAGCAUUUUAAGCUCGACAGUUAGACCAAAACAAAUAUGAAAAUUAAUUUGCAACCAAUCUCAAAACUAACAACUAAACAAAGAAUUAAUUACAGUGCAACAAAAAUGCAAUUGUUAAUAUUUAUAAUUAUUUCGAAACAAAUUAUUAUGCAUGUUUUAUUUAAUUGGUCAAAAAAGCAGAAAUAAAUGGUUAUUAAAAUUGAUUUGUUUUCAUUUGUGUCCAAGAGACCGGCUCUAACAUGUCACGACAAAUACUCACAAAACCUCAGCAAUCAUUAGUGUCUAAUUGGAAUAUGGACUUGAAUAACGUUAAUCAAACAGAUAGUUGCAAGCCUACAAUUAGUAUGUGAAAUUCAGGUAUUAAGACGUGAUGAUUGUUUAAAAAAAAACAUUUUUGUACAAAAAAAAAAAAAUGCUGUUGGUGCUGGAGGUUUAAUAUUUCGAUCAAAAUGAUGUUCACAGCUUUCACCCCACCACAAUCUAAUCGUGUGAGCAACACUUUCACAUGUCCUCGUGAAUCCCCCACCUCCCAACAACAAACAUCCACCUGUCCGUUCCAGAACGCCUGGAGCUCACUGUGUGUUCAUGUUGUGGAUGUCAGUGGAACUUUGAGUUUGCAUUGCUGUCUUUUCUACUCAUUUCUACCGGUAACUCUUUCUAUUCAUAGCCAAAUAUGAGGCGGGCCUUCCUGUGUCUGUGUGCCAAUCACAGACCAGCAUGGUCCUGGUCUGAUGGUCGCCCAGCGUGGUUUUAUACAUGCACAUUUUUUUAAAAGAACUUUUGUUUUUUCUUUGUUUUUUCUUUUUUUCCUCAUUGGUUGAUUUGUGUAUAAAGAGGCAAAGUUCUGUCACUAAUAUGCCACUCUAUUCAAAAUAAAACCUGAUUGGUUAUCUCUGUA